AAGGAGACCUGGAUUGGCUAUGUCUGCAAGGAGGUUUUAAAGGGGCUGCACCACAUCCACAAGAACCGGGCCGUUCAUAGAGACAUCAAGAGCCUGAACAUCAUGCUCACAGAGACGGCCAAAGUGAAGAUCAUCGACUUUGGAAACAGCUGGAACCUGGACCCGCAGACUAGAUUGUGCCACGAAGCGGAAG